UGUGAUGGAGCAUCAAUGCCUGUCCGCCAU
rnacentral:piRNA from 2 species